AACCCCAUUUUGGAAAACUUAUCCUUGCAGGACGUGUUUCAAAUAGUAAGAAACGAUAGAUUGUGUUGUCAAGUGAACUGUUAGUUUCGCUAAGAAAAGUUAUUUGCUGGAAAGGAGCUAGUAGCAAUUGGUCGAAUUUGAAUAAUUUGUUUGUUUGGAUGGAAAUUGAACCAUCUGCUUGUUUGAGUUCACUGUUAAAUUAACUGAACUAUUUGUAAAUCGAUGAGUGAAGUGAUUUGUUAAGGUUUCGCGUAUUGCCUAUCUAGUAGUGUUGUGCUUAAUGAAUCUUUUGACGGGAUUCAUACUAAUGAAUCUUUCACCUAACAUGCAGUCAGAUGGUUUCUUUACGCAUUCGACUCUUUCAAAACCUCGUCAUGAAUCUUUCACGAAAAUCCACGAUUCAUUCAUUGGCGUGGACCAUCCGACCAAAAAACAAAUUCUGCCCAUUUUUGGAGGGCUCGACGAAAGAUUCAUUCAGAUUUAUUAAUCUGAAUCUGAUUUACUCAACUCUACUAUCUAGAACAUGCCUCAGUGUCGGUUGGUUUUACUCACCAUAAUCACUCUCUGUGGGACUGAAAUCAGCGACCAGUACACAAUUUUUUUAACUGCUCCUUUGAACCGUAUUCCGUAAUUAAACAAUAGAAAUAUGGAUGGCGUUCAAAAGGGAUGUCUUCGAAGUGCUAUGCGCAGUGGCUUCGUUAUCUUCAGUCCGAAGUUUUCGAUGGAAAUGUAACUUUUGAUCUAAUUAUUCAUGUUCUCUUCUGAUGAUGGUGAGUCCCACCUUGUUGGAAACAGUUCGGAACCAUAAGUUCGAACUCGCUCCAACAGCACCUGUCAGAUGAAAAUGGAACGAUAUCAGCGUGAGAAAACCGAUAAAAGAAGUGAAAAAGCGGGAAAAAUAACUUACUCUGUUACAAGCACAAGCAACGGGAAUAAAGAGUAAAUU